rnacentral:rRNA from 1 species
AUGGCGGCCUCCACCACAAUGGCGCUCUCCUCCCCCGCGAUCAAGCUCGCCGGAGCCUCGUACGCGCUCGGCGGCGGCCGCGUCACCAUGCGCAAGGCCGCGCCCAAGGCCGCCGCCUCCAACAGCCCCUGGUACGGCCCCGACCGCGUGCUCUACCUCGGCCCGCUCUCUGGCGAGCCCCCGAGCUACCUCAGCGGCGAGUUCCCGGGCGACUACGGGUGGGACACCGCGGGCCUCUCCGCCGACCCGGAGACCUUCGCCAAGAACCGCGAGCUCGAGGUGAUCCACUGCCGCUGGGCCAUGCUCGGCGCGCUCGGCUGCGUCUUCCCCGAGCUGCUCGCCCGCAACGGCGUCAAGUUCGGCGAGGCCGUCUGGUUCAAGGCCGGCUCCCAGAUCUUCAGCGAGGGCGGCCUCGACUACCUCGGUAACCCUAGCUUGGUCCACGCUCAGAGCAUCCUUGCCAUCUGGGCUUGCCAGGUCGUGCUCAUGGGCGCUGUCGAGGGGUACCGCGUUGCUGGUGGCCCGCUCGGAGAGAUCGUCGACCCACUCUACCCCGGUGGCAGCUUCGACCCCCUUGGCCUAGCUGACGAUCCAGAGGCGUUUGCCGAGCUCAAGGUGAAGGAGAUCAAGAACGGCCGCCUUGCAAUGUUCUCCAUGUUUGGAUACUUUGUGCAGGCCAUCGUCACCGGUAAGGGUCCGCUUGAGAACCUCGCUGACCACCUCGCCGACCCCGUCAACAACAACGCGUGGGCCUUCGCCACCAACUUUGUGCCCGGCAAGUAA